rnacentral:misc_RNA from 1 species
UAGACUUUAAGUAGCACGAUUAUGAAACAUGGGCCUGCAAUACGAAAUCAAGCACUUCGCAUAGUAAACCGUAAACCUAGUCGGCACACACGUUCUUUCUCAUACGCAGUGAUUCAAUGGUGUGGCUACAGCUUUUUCCUUGAACCCGAAAGCAGCGGAGCACCUCUGCAGAUCGGACAUGUUGAACCCUUUCAUGGACACGGCCCACAUGGGCGCUCUCAAACUAAGCCCACCGCACGCCAUGCCAGUCGAGCCGGCAGGAGCCCACGUACAGGGAAACCACCAAUUUGCAGCUCAGGCCAACGGUUAUCCUGGUCCUCACCCCCAUGCUCAUCACCACCAUCACGGGCAUGUUAGCAGCUACGCUGCACGAGACUUUUUGCUCCGCAGAGAGCAUAUGCCAACUUUAGCUAGUAGCUUAGCAACCCACGAUAACCUGAGUAAUAACGGCACAGCGCACCAUGGGAUGUUUGUGCCCUCUUCUGCGACGCUGCACGGGACUCACCAUCACACGGUUGACCCUUCCUCCACGCACGUGCUUUUUCCUGGUUUGGAGUAUUCUGCGGCUCACCACGCUGGACAUAUGAAUGGUCAAGUUAGGCUUUCCUUGCCUGGAAGUGACAUGUACGGGCGUCCGGAUACUUUUAACCAAAUGGCCGGUCCAAGAACUGACCACUUUGCUGGAACCUAUGGUGCCAUGAACAUGGGUCCUCACGGUCCGGGAGCCUUCUUCAGAUACAUGCGACAGCCAGUAAAACAAGAAAUGGCAUGUGUCUGGGUUGAUCAGGAGCAACCAAGUCCGAAAAAACCGUGUAACAAAAUAUUUACUUCUAUGCACGAGAUAGUGACUCAUAUCACAGUAGAACAUGUCGGUGGUCCCGAAUGCUCGAAUCAUGCAUGUUACUGGCAGGACUGUUCCCGUAACGGACGGCCGUUCAAGGCCAAGUACAAACUGGUCAACCACAUACGGGUCCACACCGGGGAAAAGCCGUUCCCCUGCCCCUUCCCUGGCUGUGGAAAAGUUUUUGCCAGAAGUGAAAACCUAAAGAUACAUAAACGAACACACACAGGAGAAAAACCGUUUAAGUGUGAGUUCGAGGGGUGUGACCGGAGGUUUGCUAACAGUUCCGACCGGAAGAAACAUUCUCACGUGCAUACUAGUGACAAACCAUACAACUGUAAGAUACGAGGCUGCGACAAAAGUUACACUCACCCGAGCUCUCUACGGAAACACAUGAAAGUACACGGAAAGUCUCCGCCGCCUCCUGGUGCAGCGCCAGGUUCCACAGGCAGCAACAGCUCCAUGUCUGACUACGACAGCGACACGCCGCCUUGUACCACUACUAAUGGUAGCAGCGGUAACGGCAACGCGCUGAUCGGGACACGGUCUACCUGCCCAGCAGGCCACACGGCGUUACCCUUAACUAACCCUGGACAUGGAGGAGGAGGCGGCCAUCCAACUAACUUGAGUGAAUGGUACGUUUGUCAGUCUACAGCCGGUAUGCCCACUCCUCCUAGUAAUGAACACUCGCCAGUGGUAGGAGUGACCCACCAUCUACACGGGUCUUCAUCCUACUGACUUAGAGUUUAUUCAUACAAGACUUUAUAAUUGUACAAAAACGAAGUAACCAAAUGUUCGUAUGGAUGGAUUUUUACUAACCACUGUGUAACUGAACAGAGCCUCCGUAGAGUCAAUGGUCAACCAUAUCUUUCAAAAGAUCAGAAAAAAGUCACUACUCCAACCGAUUGUCAACAAUGAAUAGACCUGAGUAAACUGACAGGGUGCUUCAAAUGUAUUUCACCGUGGAACAGCUAGGACUUGGGAUAUGGAAGAACUCAUCCUGUUGUUGUUUAAGGAAUCUGCUAUUAGUUCUUUAAAAUCAUAUUGACAGUUUAACAAAGCUAUGAUAGAGUGUGCACAUUGUCAAAGGCGUUUUUGCUUUGUAGUCGAGAAGAAGUGAUUGGUAUAAAAAAUAACGUGGUUUAUAUAUAUGUAAUAACGCUAAGCUGGUGUUCAAUUUAUGGUUUAUAUAUAUAUAAUACCGCUAAGCUGGUGUUAAAUUUAUUUCUAAAGCUUACUUUAAAAAUAACUGCUUAUCGGAAAAGGUAACACUACAAAGCAAUAACGCCUUCAAAUGUUCUUUUAUGUAUCAAAAUUGGACAGUGUUGAUAAAUGUAUAAUGAUAGACUAAACUUGGUAAUGGGAUAGUUCAUUGUUUUAGGCAUUAUAUACUUUUAUUUUAUUUAUGGAUAAUAAGUUUGAUAUCUU